rnacentral:rRNA from 1 species
AUACGGAGGGUGCAGGCGUUAAUCGGAAUUACUGGGCGUAAAGCGUACGUAGGCGGUCCGUUAAGUUAGAUGUGAAAGCCCCGGGCUUAACCUGGGAACUGCAUUUAAAACUGGCGGACUAGAGUUGAGUAGAGGGGAGUGGAAUUUCAGGUGUAGCGGUGAAAUGCGUAGAGAUCUGAAGGAACACCAGUGGCGAAGGCGACUCCCUGGACUCGAACUGACGCUGAGGUACGAAAGCGUGGGUAGCAAACGGGAUUAGAAACCCUAGUAGUCC